GAUGAACGCUAGCGGGAGGCCUAACACAUGCAAGCCGAGCGGUAUUGUUUCUUCGGAAAUGAGAGAGCGGCGUACGGGUGCGUAACACGUGUGCAACCUGCCUUUAUCUGGGGGAUAGCCUUUCGAAAGGAAGAUUAAUACUCCAUAAUAUAUUGAACGGCAUCGUUUAAUAUUGAAAGCUCCGGCGGAUAGAGAUGGGCACGCGCAAGAUUAGCUAGUUGGUGAGGUAACGGCUCACCAAGGCGAUGAUCAUUAGGGGGCCUGAGAGGGUGAUCCCCCACAAUGGUACUGAGACACGGACCAGACUCCUACGGGAGGCAGGAGUGAGGAAUAUUGGUCAAUGGGUGCAAGCCUGAACCAGCCGUCCCGCGUGAAGGACGACUGCCCUAUGGGUUGUAAACUUCUUUUGUAUAGGGAUAAACCUACCCUCGUGAGGGUAGCUGAAGGUACUAUACGAAUAAGCACCGGCUAACUCCGUGCCAGCCGCCGCAGUAA
rnacentral:rRNA from 1 species